rnacentral:lncRNA from 1 species
CCUACUUUUUGCAAAAGAAGCACUCCGCCUGGCUCUGGUCGGGCUUGCGCUUCUUGGUCUGACCCUGUGCAGACAUCCCGGCAUGCGGCUGCACCUUCUUGUUCUUCUUCCCUUUCUUAAAGGGUCGACGACCAAAAGAAGACCCUCCCAUAAUAUUCACCAACUCCUUGUGGAGCUGGUGGUCCUUCUCAAAGUUCUGCAGCAACCCCAACAAGCCGUGGUAGUUCACUACAGGCUUUGUCAUCUGAAAAUGAGUAAGAAAGGGGAGG